GCCUGGGUGGCUCAGUAGGUUAAGCGUCUGACUUCAACUCAGGUCAUGAUCUCACAGUUCGUGCGUUCGAGCCCCACGUCGGGCC
rnacentral:tRNA from 1 species